rnacentral:rRNA from 1 species
CCUACGGGUGGCUGCAGUGGGGAAUAUUGCACAAUGGGCGCAAGCCUGAUGCAGUCAUGCCGCGUGUGUGAAGAAGGCCUUCGGGUUGUAAAGCACUUUCAGCGGGGAGGAAGGCGGUGAGGUUAAUAACCUCAUCGAUUGACGUUACCCGCAGAAGAAGCACCGGCUAACUCCGUGCCAGCAGCCGCGGUAAUACGGAGGGUGCAAGCGUUAAUCGGAAUUACUGGGCGUAAAGCGCACGCAGGCGGUCUGUCAAGUCGGAUGUGAAAUCCCCGGGCUCAACCUGGGAACUGCAUUCGAAACUGGCAGGCUAGAGUCUUGUAGAGGGGGGUAGAAUUCCAGGUGUAGCGGUGAAAUGCGUAGAGAUCUGGAGGAAUACCGGUGGCGAAGGCGGCCCCCUGGACAAAGACUGACGCUCAGGUGCGAAAGCGUGGGGAGCAAACAGGAUUAGAUACCCUUGUAGUC